GGCUUGGUGGCGUAGCGGUAACGUGCUCUGUGUACCUGUGGAACAUUCCCAUAUCGGUUUAACGGAAAGUCCGGAGUUCGAUUCUCCGUCAAGCCA